UACCAGCACCCCGAGUGGUUGGGACGAUUAUUGGGCCUAAAGCAUCCGUAGCCGGUCCUACAAGUCUUCCGUUAAAUCCACCUGCUUAACAGAUGGGCUGCGGAAGAUACUAUAGGGCUAGGAGGCGGGAGAGGCAAGCGGUACUCAGUGGGUAGGGGUAAAAUCCUCUGAUCCAUUGAAGACCACCAGUGGCGAAGGCGGCGUGCCAGAACGCGCUCGACGGUGAGGGAUGAAAGCUGGGGGAGCAAACCAG
rnacentral:rRNA from 1 species